CCCACCCAUGCGGACAUCAUGACGUCACUUUAUAAGCAAUUUUAAGCCUUGGUGCGGGCACAUUUGCGAACCAGUAGGGAAGACAGAAAACUGUGAGAUAAAGCUGCAUAAAUCAUCGCCUGGGAAUGAGACAAGCCCAGCAUCAUGGAGACAAUCGGGAAAAAUAGGCUUGCAAGCCCAUUAAAUGACUUUGUAAAUAACUAAUGAGGAAAAGCUGUUAGAAAAGAACGUCAAGGACAUCUUGCCCUGCACCUGGAGGGAUGUGACUGGGAG